GAUGAACGCUGGCGGCGUGCCUAAUACAUGCAAGUCGAGCGAACGGACGAGAAGCUUGCUCCUCUGAUGUUAGCGGCGGACGGGUGAGUAACACGUGGAUAACCUACCUAUAAGACUGGGAUAACUUCGGGAAACCGGAGCUAAUACCGGAUAAUAUUUUGAACCGCAUGGUUCAAAAGUGAAAGACGGUCUUGCUGUCACUUAUAGAUGGAUCCGCGCUGCAUUAGCUAGUUGGUAAGGUAACGGCUUACCAAGGCAACGAUGCAUAGCCGACCUGAGAGGGUGAUCGGCCACACUGGAACUGAGACACGGUCCAGACUCCUACGGGAGGCAGCAGUAGGGAAUCUUCCGCAAUGGGCGAAAGCCUGACGGAGCAACGCCGCGUGAGUGAUGAAGGUCUUCGGAUCGUAAAACUCUGUUAUUAGGGAAGAACAAAUGUGUAAGUAACUAUGCACGUCUUGACGGUACCUAAUCAGAAAGCCACGGCUAACUACGUG
rnacentral:rRNA from 1 species